AUGCCCUUAGACCUAAAAAAAAAUCGAUUCUCACAGACUUAGUGGUCUCCCUCUCUCAUCCUUUCGAUCUCACUGUUCUCACUCUAUCGCUACCAUUUCCAUCACUCUAUCGGUAACGAUGGGUCUAUCAACAAAUCUCCAUAGCCUCAACCUUCGAUUCCACUUUCUUCACCGGUGGUAACGGAGGAGUCAAGAAGCCACAUCGUUACCGUCCUGGAACCAUCGCUGUUCGUGAGAUUCAUAAAUCUAGUGAAGAUGAGAUUAGAGCCGAGAAGAAUCCUCGCCCAUUUGAUGAAGAUGAUAUCGCUCUCGUAAAGAAUUAUGUUUUCACAAGAUGCAGGUUUUCACAAGAUGCAGGUCUUCACAUGUGUAGGUUUUAACAUUAUACAUAACGUGUUCUCAUAAUUUCUGUGGAUCUGGUUGUUGUUGUUGUUGUCUAGAAGUUCAAGUUGUGGAGACAUGUGACUGAGGCUAAGAAGAAACAUUCAGAGAAGAAGGUGACGAAGUCUGAUGAACCUAAGCCAAAAAGACUUAGAAUAGCCAAGGAUACGAAGAAGAGCUCUUCUACCUUAAACAUGCCCAAACGACCUCUUACGGGCUUCUUUAUCUUCGUGAAUAUAUUCUGUCAUUCUUUUUGACGAGAGCAUCUAAGUUCUCUCAUUAAGGAUGUUGCAAAGAUCGGUGGUGGAAAGUGGACGUCUAUGACUGAGGAAUUGAGUUGCUUUAUUAUCUUGUUUCUUUGUUAGUUUCAUAGCGAUUUGUUUCUCUUUGUAGUUUAUCUCAUAAAUUAGUACUUUGUUGUGUAAGAGUAAUAGUUAGAUUUUUUUGUAUAAGACUUGUUAUAUAUGUUUUGUGUAAUGAAUAUUUUUGAUAAUUUA